UACGGGGGGGGUAAGCGUUGUUCGGAAUUACUGGGCGUAAAGUGUGCGCAGGUGGCCGCGCAAGUCGAGUGUGAAAUCCCCGAGCUUAACUUGGGAAUUGCGCUCGAAACUACGUGGCUCGAGUGUGGCAGAGGAAGGUGGAAUUCCACGUGUAGCGGUGAAAUGCGUAGAGAUGUGGAGGAACACCGAUGGCGAAGGCAGCCUUCUGGGCCAACACUGACGCUCAUGCACGAAAGCGUGGGGAGCAAACAGG
rnacentral:rRNA from 1 species